GGUCUCAUAGAAUAGUGGUUAGUACAUCUGCUUUACACGCAGAAAGUCCUGGGUUUGCACCCAGGUGGAGCCA
rnacentral:tRNA from 1 species